GCGGGUGUAGCUCAUGGAGAGCGCCGGAUUUGGAUCCGGAGGCAGGGUUCGAUUCCCACACCCACGACA
rnacentral:tRNA from 1 species